AUUGAACGCUGGCGGCAUGCCUAACACGUGCAAGUCGAACGGGGCAGCAAUGCCUAGUGGCGGACGGGUGAGGAAUACGUAGGAAUCUGCCCUUAAGUGGGGGAUAACCAGGGGAAACCCUGACUAAUACCGCAUGAUCUCUUCGGAGCAAAGAGGGGGACCGCAAGGCCUCUCGCUUCUGGAUGAGCCUACGUCUGAUUAGCUAGUUGGUAGGGUAAAGGCCUACCAAGGCGACGAUCAGUAACUGGUCUGAGAGGAUGAUCAGUCACACCGGAACUGAGGCGCGGUCCGGACUCCUACGGGAGGCAGGAGUGGGGAAUAUUGGACAAUGGGCGAAAGCCUGAUCCAGCAAUGCCGCGUGUGUGAAGAAGGCCUUCGGGUUGUAAAGCACUUUAGCCUGGAAAGAAAAAACUUUGGUUAACACCCAAAGUCUUGACGGUACCGGGAGAAUAAGCACCGGCUAACUCUGUGCCAGCCGCCGCGGUAACAC
rnacentral:rRNA from 1 species